rnacentral:lncRNA from 1 species
GUUUUCCACGUUUGUGGUAAUAAUGUCACCUGAGGGUUUCUACUAGAUUAAGUAAAGGAAGAAACAGAGUGGGAGGGGAAUGAAGUGUGACAAACUCUCUUAUAAAAGAUAAGGCAAAAAUGGCAGUCAAUUAUUGUUUCUGAUAAAUGUAAUGUCAUCCAAUAAUUUAUAGUAAUUCUGAGAACUAUAGCCAGUAAAAUGAAUUUGCAUAGUCUGUCUUCUUUAGGACACUGAUUUUCAAACUUGAAUGCACACUGGAAUCACCCGAGGAAUUUAAAAAAACACCGACACCUGGAUCCCACACAAGGACCCUGAUUUAAAUGGAUAAUCCUCACCAGCCUCAGAGUUCAUGUCUGAAAGUAUAGAGGCGGCAGAUAACCAAUGCAAGUGAACAUGGGUGAAAAUGGAUGAAAGUCCAUCUGGGCUGUCUGCAAAAUGAGAAGAUUCUAGACACUGUUUCUUAAAUACCUUGGAGGCGAGGAUCACAAAAUGCUCUCAGAAGUUUAUGAAAGCUAUGGAGUCUCCGGAAAUAUUCAGAAUUUUGCAUGUAAUUUUCAUAGAUUGCAGAUUCCCUGAAGAACACCAGUAGUUGAGGACUCCUAGAACCCAGGUUCUGGAUGAAGCCUUCCACCAUUUUAAAGCUCCUUUUAUGGAUAUUUCUGGUUUUGGUCUCAGAUUUUCAUUCUCCAAACAUUCUCUUUAGAUGACCACAUUCACUUUCAAGUAUUCAUGCCAAAUAAAUCUUCAUUUCCAGCCCAGACCUCCCUCCAAACUCUUGGUUUGUUUAGUCACUUGCAACACAGAUUAUUCAUCCAGAUUUCCAUGGGCAUCUCAAAAUCAACACAUCCAAAAUGAAGUUAUCAUCCCUGAUAAUCCUCCUAGCUCCUGUCCCAUUCAUCUCCCUCCCAUCUCUCACCCAUAAAGAAUUAACUACUGAUGUUUCUCACUAACCAACCCAUAAUAAUGACCUGCAUUAAUUAAUCCAUGUGCAAUUCAGAAUUACUUACAUUCAUUUAUCCAUGUGAUAUUUUCACUCAUUAAUCACCAUCGUCUGCAUAUGUAAACAGGAACAACAACAUCCACCUAUCCCAGCAGGGGUUUUGCAAUUACUUUAAAGCCUUUUCAAAUAUAUUUUUGUGUGAUUAAAAUGAUGGAGAUAUUUCAAAUGAAUUCAAGUAUAAAAUGCAAAAUAUUCCAACUUCAUAAACUGUUUACUUCUGGCUUAGAAAAUGUUAAUAUUUUUACUCAACCCAUCUGGCUCUGGAGAUGCUGUGUGUGCUUGAUAAUUGUAUGUGAAAAUUAUUAUUUGCAUCUUUAAAAAUUACUUGAGGAAUGCUAUUUAUUAAACUUGUUAUUCCUAUCUAUUUUUUGACAACAUAAUACAACUUUAAAUUCAAAAGAAAAAUUGACAAGACAUAUUUUAGCAGUUUAAAAUGAACAUCACAGAUACAAAAUGAUCAAAGUAAAAUAUUAUUAGCUGUAGAUGACUCAAAUAUUUCCUCGUCUUACUGUCUUUUGUUUUGAUGUGAUUUCCUUCCAUCCUUAAAAAAUCCUGUAGCACCAUCUGCUCCUAUAACACUUUGGCAUGCUUAAAAAUUUCAUUUCCAGACUCGGCAGUUUUGAAAUACUUCCAUGGACAUUUCUUAAAGAAAAUAAGUUGGAAGAAUUUCCAUUCCUCCCAGCUUGUUUCUUAAUAAACAGCAGACGAAGUACUCAAGAAACACAGAGCUAUAUAAAUGUUUUGUUAUAAUCAGACAUUUCCCUUCUGAUUUUCCCUCUGACCCUGUGGCUAUAUUAUGCCUGAGGAAACAGUAUUUUAUAUGCUAUGUGCACAGUUUAUGCAACAAUUUUUUAAUAUGCAGAUCUGGUUUUAUAAUCUGAAUUCUAAAAUGUAAUGAAUUUCCAUGAAGUGUAUGUUUCAUGGAUAAGCCAG